UACGGAGGGUGCAAGCGUUAAUCGGAAUUACUGGGCGUAAAGCGUGCGCAGGCGGUUUUGUAAGCCAGAUGUGAAAUCCCCGGGCUCAACCUGGGAAUGGCAUUUGGGACUGCAAGGCUGGAGUUUGGCAGAGGAGACUGGAAUUCCCGGUGUAGCAGUGAAAUGCGUAGAUAUCGGGAGGAAUACCGAUGGCGAAGGCAGGUCUCUGGGCUAUAACUGACGCUCAUGCACGAAAGCGUGGGGAGCAAACAGG
rnacentral:rRNA from 1 species